UACGGAGGGUGCGAGCGUUGUCCGGAAUCACUGGGCGUAAAGGGCGCGUAGGCGGCUUCUCAAGCGUGUGGUGAAAGUCCGGGGCUCAACCCCGGAUCGGCCGUGCGGACUGGGGAGCUCGAGUUCUGUAGAGGCGGGUGGAAUUCCGGGUGUAGCGGUGGAAUGCGUAGAGAUCCGGAAGAACACCGGUGGCGAAGGCGGCCUGCUGGGCAGUGGCUGACACUGAGGCGCGACAGCGUGGGGAGCAAACAGG
rnacentral:rRNA from 1 species